GAAUCUGAACUGCAACUGCGACCUACUGCAAUGAGCAGGGCUGGGGAUCAAACAUGCACUGCCUCAGAGACAAGACCAGAAACUUAACCCACUUCACUGCAGCAGGAACUCUGAGAAAUACUGGUUUAAAUAGAAUUGUGUCACAUGCAUUUUCCUACUGCCCUCAUCGGCACUGACUGCAAAUUAGGAAAAACUGCAUAAUGAGUGAAAUCAGACUUAGAAUAAUUGUUCCCAGAAACUGUUUUCUGUUAAAUCUGCUGUAUUGUCCAUGGGAGACCUUGUCCAGAGCUUGGGUCAGACUCACAGUUGGAGGCAUCUUCUCCAUGAGAGAGACAAAAACUGGCAAAAUAACUGAUGCGAGCCAAGAGAUUUUAGAAGCCAGCCAUCCUGAAAUGUUGUAAAGGUGAGCACUGAGGAUGUGUGACUAAUGUCCAGGAAAAUCACUUAUAUCAAGGGCAGUAAUCAUUUUAAUAGAAGGCUUCAAAAAGUUUCAAAAACAAAUGGUGUCAUGCUACCUUAAUUCAAGGCAGAUGAGUAUAUGCAGGCGUUUGCUGUUAUUAAAACUUACCAGGAGUUCCCAUUGUGGCUCAACAGGUUACAAACCCGACUAAUAUCCAUGAGGAUUCAGGCUUGAUCCCUCACCUGGCUCAGUGAGUUAAGGAUCUGGCAUUGCCACAGCUAUGAUGUAGGCUUGGAUCCUGCAUUGCUGUGGUUGUGGCGUAGGCCAGCAGCUGCAGCUCCAAUUCCAUCCCUAGCCUAAGAACUUCCAUAUGGGUGCAGCCCUAAAAAGACCCCCCCCCUUAAAAAAAAAAAGCAUAAAAAGAAGGCUGUGGUUCAUAUCAUUCUCCCGGAUUCCAGUUGGAGAGCAUAUUGGCUAUUGGUCUGUGGUUUCAUAAUGCAGGACACAUGGGUAAUUAGUAUCAUGCUUAGGGUCUUUGUUCAUUUUCGUUUAGUUUACUCUUCUAAAUUGUAAAUCAACCCAAAUCACAAAAUCAAUGAAUAGCAAUCAUCAGCUGCCACCUGAUGUCAAGCAGCUGACAUUUUGGAACAUCUAAAUUGUUGCACAAAUUUUUUGUCUUCAGCCAGAUGUUUAGCAUCCAGUGGUCAUGCCUUUCCUCCUGACCCCCUCAGCCCCACCUGGGUUUAGACCUUUCCUGCAAAGAAUGGUCCUGCAGCUACUCUUGCAUUAAGUACAGCUUGUUUUAUUCAUUUUCUAGUUAUUCAAAAUACUUUAUUAGUAAGCGUUCUUAGUUGCAAGCAAUAGAAAUAGAUUCUGGCUAAAUUAAACAGAAAAGAAUUUAUGGGAAAGCUAAUAUGGACUCGUGAUCACAGUAGGAGGAGGGAGACUGGGCUUGAGGAAGGGCAGGGUCAAGGAAGUGCCAGCCCCACCCACUUCCCCACCCACAGUGUAGAUCACCAGACCAAGGCUGUCUUGCCACUUAUCCACACUCCUGUGGUACCACCUCCAGGGGCAAAGCCUUCUCAGGUUCGCUACAUGAGAGGUGGAUUUGGGAGCAACAAAUGGCCCUCCUACUAAGACAACUACCAGAGGAAGAAAGAUUUUUCCCCAUAAGGAAACUGGAGGAGUUCCCUGGUCGUCUAGAGGGUUAAGGAUCUGGCAUUGUCCACUGCUGUGACAUGGGUUCAAUCCAUGGCCAGGUAACUUCCAAAAACAGAAAACUAAGAUGUUACAAGGAAGUGGGGGUGAUGCUUCCUACAUAUGUCUGCUACAAAUAAUAUGCAGGGUUGGUUUUUUUUAACUUUUUAAUUAUUAUUUUUUUUUUUCUUUUUUAGCUGCACCCGCUGCAUAUGGAAGUUCCUGGGCCAGGAAUUGAGUCUCAGCCACAACUGCGGCAAUGCCAGAUUCUUAACUCACAGCACCAGGCCGGGGAUUGAACCUGUGCCGCUACAGAGACCAUGCCAGAUCCUUAACCUGCUGUGCCACAGUGAGAACUCCCUACUUUUUUUUUUGUUUGUUUUUUGUUUUUUCUUUUUAGGACCACACCCAAGGCAUAUGGAAACUCCCAGGCUAGGAAUCGAAUCAGAGCUGUCAGCCUACAGCCACAGCAACACAGGAUCUGAGCCAUGUCUGCGACUUACGCCACAGCUCAUGGGAACACCGGAUCCCUAACCCACUGAGCGAGGCCAGGAAUCGAACUGCAUCCUCAUGAUUACUAGUCGGUUUUGUUUCUGCUACGCCACAACCAGAACUCCCCCUAAAUUAUUUUUAAAAUGCAUGUUCAUUAUGGAAAAUACAUAGCAUUAUCGUUCUAUAUUUUUUCCUAAAAUUGGAAUUCUAUUGAAUGUACAAUUUAUAACCAACUUUUUUUCACCUAACCAUGCACUGGGAUCAUUUUCCAUGCCAUUAACCGCUCAUCUGCAACAUGCUUUUCAGAGUGGCGGUGGUCUUUCUCCUCUGUAUUUAUUUUAAAUCACUUGGGCAUUUUCUCUUUUGCUUUUUUUACCUUUGUAAAUGAUGCUGGACUGAACACAAUACUCUUUUUCGCUCUUUGGCUUUCAUAUAUCGAAGCCUCCCCAGAUAUAGACUCUGCUAAGUGCUUGUGUGCCUUUUCACAUUUACUCUUCCCGGCGUCCCUCCUGGUUAAUCCUAUUAUCAUCACCGUUUUACAGAUGAGGAACAUGCCGAGUGGAGGCUAUAAAUAACUUGCCUAAGGUCACACAGCCGCUGAGCGGAUGGUCCCCACAUAACCCUUGGGUCCCACAGAUGGCAGGGGCAGAAUCAGCCUGUCUGACUCCAGGCUCAGGCUUGAAGCUCCCCCAUUCCUUCUCUCGUAGAAAUCAUUCAUUGGAUAAUCUGCGAAUAUUUUCCUUAGGAUAAAAAAUCAGGAGGAGUUCCUGUUGUGGCUCAGCAGUUAACGAAUCUGACU
rnacentral:lncRNA from 1 species